rnacentral:rRNA from 1 species
GACGAACGCUGGCGGCGUGCCUAAUACAUGCAAGUUGAGCGCUGAAGGUUGGUACUUGUACCAACUGGAUGAGCAGCGAACGGGUGAGUAACGCGUGGGGAAUCUGCCUUUGAGCGGGGGUCAACAUUUGGAAACGAAUGCUAAUACCGCAUAAAAACUUUAAACACAAGUUUUAAGUUUGAAGGAUGCAAUUGCAUCACUCAAAGAUGAUCCCGCGUUGUAUUAGCUAGUUGGUGAGGUAAAGGCUCACCAAGGCGAUGAUACAUAGCCGACCUGAGAGGGUGAUCGGCCACAUUGGGACUGAGACACGGCCCAAACUCCUACGGGAGGCAGCAGUAGGGAAUCUUCGGCAAUGGACGAAAGUCUGACCGAGCAACGCCGCGUGAGUGAAGAAGGUUUUCGGAUCGUAAAACUCUGUUGGUAGAGAAGAACGUUGGUGAGAGUGGAAAGCUCAUCAAGUGACGGUAACUACCCAGAAAGGGACGGCUAACUACGUG